rnacentral:tRNA from 1 species
AACGAAAUAGUUUAAAUAAAAAUGUUGGGUUUGCGUCUCUUAGAUGGAUUUUUUCCUUUCGUUG